rnacentral:lncRNA from 1 species
UCCCUGCAUUUGUGUAAAACAAUAAAAGUAAGGUUUUUGAAAAUGAUCCUAUGAGUCUUUGGUUUCAGUGACUUGAUAUUAGCAAUGGAUAUUGUAUGAAUGUGCUUGCUGCAUCCUUGUUUGAAACAGUCCACUUCGUGUAGCUAAAUUGAUAGAACAAUGAGCAAAAGGCUUAUUACCUUGUUUAUAACUCAAUUCAUCAACCCCAAGACAUAGUCCUUGUGGAAUCAGCAUGUUCAUGGAACAGGCCUGCUAUAGCAACAGAUCGUCGUGGUACAUCCACUAGAAGAGCAGGAUAGUCGUGCACUAUGAAUACUGUUUUGGACAGAGCUGCUGUUUUCUUGCCAAAGUGAAAUCGAAUAAGAUCUUUGUUAUAAAAACAUUGGCAGCUACUGGGAUUUUUUUUCUGCUUAAGAAACUGCUGUCCUAUUUUAGUCUACAGUUUUUAAUUUUGUUAUCUUAAAAUUUAUAUCAGUGUAUUAUAAUACAUUUCUCAUUUCAG